AGAGUUUGAUCAUGGCUCAGAUUGAACGCUGGCGGCAGGCCUAACACAUGCAAGUCGAACGGUAACAGGAAACAGCUUGCUGUUUCGCUGACGAGUGGCGGACGGGUGAGUAAUGUCUGGGAAACUGCCUGAUGGAGGGGGAUAACUACUGGAAACGGUAGCUAAUACCGCAUAACGUCGCAAGACCAAAGAGGGGGACCUUCGGGCCUCUUGCCAUCAGAUGUGCCCAGAUGGGAUUAGCUAGUAGGUGGGGUAACGGCUCACCUAGGCGACGAUCCCUAGCUGGUCUGAGAGGAUGACCAGCCACACUGGAACUGAGACACGGUCCAGACUCCUACGGGAGGCAGCAGUGGGGAAUAUUGCACAAUGGGCGCAAGCCUGAUGCAGCCAUGCCGCGUGUAUGAAGAAGGCCUUCGGGUUGUAAAGUACUUUCAGCGGGGAGGAAGGGAGUAAAGUUAAUACCUUUGCUCAUUGACGUUACCCGCAGAAGAAGCACCGGCUAACUCCGUGCCAGCAGCCGCGGUAAUACGGAGGGUGCAAGCGUUAAUCGGAAUUACUGGGCGUAAAGCGCACGCAGGCGGUUUGUUAAGUCAGAUGUGAAAUCCCCGGGCUCAACCUGGGAACUGCAUCUGAUACUGGCAAGCUUGAGUCUCGUAGAGGGGGGUAGAAUUCCAGGUGUAGCGGUGAAAUGCGUAGAGAUCUGGAGGAAUACCGGUGGCGAAGGCGGCCCCCUGGACGAAGACUGACGCUCAGGUGCGAAAGCGUGGGGAGCAAACAGGAUUAGAUACCCUGGUAGUCCACGCCGUAAGCGAUGUCGACUUGGAGGUUGUGCCCUUGAGGCGUGGCUUCCGGAGCUAACGCGUUAAGUCGACCGCCUGGGGAGUACGGCCGCAAGGUUAAAACUCAAAUGAAUUGACGGGGGCCCGCACAAGCGGUGGAGCAUGUGGUUUAAUUCGAUGCAACGCGAAGAACCUUACCUGGUCUUGACAUCCACGGAAGUUUUCAGAGAUGAGAAUGUGCCUUCGGGAACCGUGAGACAGGUGCUGCAUGGCUGUCGUCAGCUCGUGUUGUGAAAUGUUGGGUUAAGUCCCGCAACGAGCGCAACCCUUAUCCUUUGUUGCCAGCGGUCCGGCCGGGAACUCAAAGGAGACUGCCAGUGAUAAACUGGAGGAAGGUGGGGAUGACGUCAAGUCAUCAUGGCCCUUACGACCAGGGCUACACACGUGCUACAAUGGCGCAUACAAAGAGAAGCGACCUCGCGAGAGCAAGCGGACCUCAUAAAGUGCGUCGUAGUCCGGAUUGGAGUCUGCAACUCGACUCCAUGAAGUCGGAAUCGCUAGUAAUCGUGGAUCAGAAUGCCACGGUGAAUACGUUCCCGGGCCUUGUACACACCGCCCGUCACACCAUGGGAGUGGGUUGCAAAAGAAGUAGGUAGCUUAACCUUCGGGAGGGCGCUUACCACUUUGUGAUUCAUGACUGGGGUGAAGUCGUAACAAGGUAACCGUAGGGGAACCUGCGGUUG
rnacentral:rRNA from 1 species